UGACGUCAAAUCAUCAUGCCCUUUAUGUCCUGGGCUACACACGUGCUACAAUGGUCGGUACAACGAGAAGCAAGUCAGCGAUGGCAAGCAAAUCUCUAAAAGCCGAUCCCAGUUCGGAUUGCAGGCUGCAACUCGCCUGCAUGAAGUCGGAGUUGCUAGUAAUCGCGGAUCAGAAUGCCGCGGUGAAUGCGUUCCCGGGUCUU
rnacentral:rRNA from 1 species